rnacentral:rRNA from 1 species
UACGGGGGGGGCAAGCGUUGUUCGGAAUUACUGGGCGUAAAGGGCUCGUAGGUGGCCAACUAAGUCGGACGUGAAAUCCCUCGGCUUAACCGGGGAACUGCGUCCGAUACUGGUUGGCUUGAGUUUGGGAGAGGGAUGCGGAAUUCCAGGUGUAGCGGUGAAAUGCGUAGAUAUCUGGAGGAACACCGGUGGCGAAGGCGGCAUCCUGGGCCAAUACUGACGCUGAGGAGCGAAAGCCAGGGGAGCAAACGGG